rnacentral:rRNA from 1 species
AGUGAACGCUGGCGGUAGGCCUAACACAUGCAAGUCGAACGGCAGCACAGUAAGAGCUUGCUCUUACGGGUGGCGAGUGGCGGACGGGUGAGGAAUACAUCGGAAUCUACUUUUUCGUGGGGGAUAACGUAGGGAAACUUACGCUAAUACCGCAUACGACCUACGGGUGAAAGCAGGGGAGCUUCGGACCUUGCGCGAUUGAAUGAGCCGAUGUCGGAUUAGCUAGUUGGCGGGGUAAAGGCCCACCAAGGCGACGAUCCGUAGCUGGUCUGAGAGGAUGAUCAGCCACACUGGAACUGAGACACGGUCCAGACUCCUACGGGAGGCAGCAGUGGGGAAUAUUGGACAAUGGGCGAAAGCCUGAUCCAGCCAUACCGCGUGGGUGAAGAAGGCCUUCGGGUUGUAAAGCCCUUUUGUUGGGAAAGAAAAGCAGCAGGUUAAUCCCCCGAUGUUCUGACGGUACCCAAAGAAUAAGCACCGGCUAACUUCGUG